rnacentral:lncRNA from 1 species
UUAUAAAUGGUGAUGGUGGUGUUCAGUCGCCAAGUCAUGUCCGACUCUUUGCAACCCCAUGGACUGCAGCACACCAGGCUCUUCUGUCCUCUACUAUCUCCCGGAGUUUGCUCAGAUUCAUGUCUGUUGAGUCGGUGAUGCUGUCCAACCGCCUCAUCCUCUGUCACCUCCUUCUCCUGUUGCCUUCAGUCUUUCCCACCAUCAGGGUCUUUUCCAGUGAGUUGGCUGUUUGCCUCAAGUCGCCAAAGUAUUUGGAACUUCAGCAUCAGACCCUCCAGUGAAUACUCAGGGUUGAUUUUACUAUUUACAAAUAGUAAUAAUCAAACCAAAUCUUCCAGAAAAAACCCCUUUGAAAGUUUGAAAGGUAUUCUUUCCUGGUAACACAAUACUCAGCUUAUAAUUGGAAUACAUGAACAAUGUGUAUAAUUUAGAUUUCUCCUAGAGAGAAAAGCUUGUAAAAUGUAUAUAUCAUGAAUUUUUUAAACUAAAAUUAAGUUUAGUAUCCACUGGGUAUGGUCAGAGUAACUGGAUUUUAAGAAUUUUCAUCAUACAGUUCAAACUUUAAAACAUAAAGAUGGAGUGACCGUAUGAAUCUGACAGAACAAAUGUGAAGGUAGGUCUCCUUAUAUUUUUAUUUCUUUUUCCCCUUACUGACAACUAAGCCUUUAGGUGAGAAAUUCCUGGUCAAGGUUGAAAUAAUGAGCAGUUCUUUGAAAUAUUUCUUACUCCCUGAAGAUAGACAUACACAUGUUGCUUUGUUCAAAUGGGAUGGAUUUAUUGAAAAUAACUUUUCUCCGUUGCCUGUAACUCAUAAGACCCUUCAUGAGGUUCAGCUGUUUCAAACUCCGUUAUAUCUUAACAAAACUGCUUAAUUUAGUGUCUGAUAAUACACUCUUACUAUCUCUCUUUUUCCCCUAUAAACAUUUUCUUUUUUUAAGUUCCAAGACCUAUAAUUGCUAGCCAGAACUUUUUAGUAAGAGAGAACUGAGGUUAACACAUAGAACUGGUUGUAAUUUUGGUCAGAGGCAAACCUGACAGAAAAGCUAACAUUGACUAUUUCCAACUGGCUGUCACUGUCUUAAAUUUAAACUUAUUAACCCUGUAAGGGGCUUCCCUGAUGGCUCUAUGGUAAAGAAUCCACUUGACAAUGCAGGAGAGGUGGAUUCGAUUCCUGGAUUGGAAAGAUCUCCUGGAGAAGGAAAUGACAACCCACUCCAGUAUCUUUGCCUGGUGGGCUACAAUCCAUGGGGUCACAGAAGAGUUGGACAUAACUUAGCGACUAAACAAAAUCAAAUUAACCCUGUAAAGUAAGUAUAAAUGUGAAUUUUGGUCCAAGGCUACCUCCUGACAAGAAGUGACCAGUCUCAAGUUGAACCCAGGUCGGUCUGGUACCAGAGCUCACAUUUUAACCACCUCUGUGUGUGUAUUGCUUCCUGGCUUUUACUCACUAUAUGCAAUCUUUAUACAAUUAUGUACCCAUUAAUUGUAAUUGGGCUUCUUUGAAAUGUUGAAUAAUAGGGAGUGUUAGUUUUCCCAGCUCAGAACUAUGGGUGGGGUGGAAGACUAUUUUCAUAGAAAUAGCAGUGUAAGAAUUACUUUGGGUUGUGAUAGUAAGAUUAAUGAUAGCCUUGGAAUAACUGAGAAGCUUCUCUUUUGUAAAUAUUGCUGUUAGUGUAGCCUUCAUCAAUUGAACCUUCUUAAACCUAUUUACAAUUAACUUUUUUUUUUUUUUUGUACUUGUGGUUUUGUCACAAGUUUACUAAACAUUUUGUGAUAGGAGAUUUCUUUUUACCAGUUUUAAAACAUUUCCUAGUGAAUGUUUUAGGAUUUAAGUUACUUUGAAUAAAAUGGAGCCAGACUGUGGUAUUUUAUCUGUAAUCACUGUGAUUUUACAUGGAACUCAAUUUUAUCAUCUUAACUUUCUUUCCAGAUUGGAGUUCUUACUCUUUGAAGGUAAAAGCCACUUUAUUUUUGUGAACACUUCUUAACUGCCCUGUUUUGUACCUUCCCUGGCUUUCUUUUAUGUCUUUGAAGUGGCUGCUGGAAGGUCAUGAAGUAUGCUGGGUGCAUAUAUAACCAUGGCUUUGUGUACUAUUGAUUAUCCUUUUUCCCUAACAUCAUUCUGAUUACCUGCAGUUGUUAUUUUUCUGUUUGUGUGUGUGUGUUUUAGACAAACAUUGUUUCCCUUUUACUUUGUAACUCGUGAUUUGCCUAGGCUAGGUGAUAGAUUAAAGAUAGAGGAACCAGAAUUUACUGACUUAUUGUUUCCCACAUACCUUGAUUCCUGGAGAAAGAAGCCUGUGUGUAGCAUGCAUAAGCAAAGCUGAAUGGCAUUCUGAUUGCCUGUUAACUUUGGAGAAAUAGGUUCACUGAUAGUAACAGCCCAUGUAUGUAUAUAUGGCUGGUGAAUAAACAGUUCUGCAGUAUCAGAGCUGGGACUUAGGACGUGGAAGGUAUUAAUCAAAGUCACCGUGGCUCUAGUUGUUGUUAGCACCAAGACCAAGUUCAGAAUUCCAAAUAGACAUCUGACAAACCAGAGUGCCCACAGUUGCUUUGGGGUUCCAUCCAGCUGUGUUCUGCCUACAAGAUUCAUAAUUAUAGAUCAUUUUAAUUGCUGCUCAGUCAAAACCAGUGUUGCUAAUGACAGCAAUGAUCUAAAGGCCAUUUCAGUUGCCCUUUUCUCCUCAUAUCAUUAUUCUUGAUCAUCUUGUUACUUUUGACACAAUUUGAGAAACUUUCAAAACUUUUCUGUCUUUCUCUGGCUCUGAUCCACUAUGCGUGUUAUUUCCUUGUUCCUUGUAAUGCCCUCUUCCUUUGUCUUUUGUCCCUUUUUAGGGACUUUAACCACUGUUAGCGCCACUGGAUUUUAUAUCUCUAAUUCCACUCGCAGCCUCUAAUCUCAUAUGUGUCUCCAGAUCACAUGAAACUUGAUAAUGCUGAAACAGUUGUCAGUCAUUUAACAAACAUCUAGUGAGUACAUGUGUUCCUGGCACUCAGCUGGCGCUGGGGAUAACAAGAGGCAGCAUCUGGCAAAGGGAACAAAACCUUACAUAGUGAGUGAGAGUUGCUCAGUCAUGUCCAACUCUCUGCCACCCCAUGGACUAUAAAGCCUGCCAGGCUCCUCUGUCCAUGGAAUUCUCCAGGCAAGAACAAUAGGGGGGUUGCCGUUUCCUUCUUACAUAACCAUAAAAGAAUUACGUGUUUGGGGAGCACAUUUUGAUCUUCCGGGUUGCAAUCUUAAUAGUUGUUCUGUUGGAUUUUCUGUUGAUUAGGUCAUACUGAUUCUUCUAUGAGGUCUUCUACUUACUUUCUCUAUUAGCCUAGGAUUGUAGUUCUUAAUCUUGCAGGAUUAAAUGUAGAAAAAGACAUUUAUCAGACUAGCCAUGAGAACUAAUGAUUGUACUUGACUAUGUUAAUUGAUUGGAAAUUUUGUGUUAAAAGAUUGUGGGAAUUCAGCAAUACUUUUUAAGUGAAUUAUUUAAUUAAUAACAAUAGCAUUUACACUCAGAUUUAGACUAUACUUUUAUUAGAGAGCCACCUUUAUGCUAAAUAAUGUUCUAAAGAAUAAAAGUAUGCAGUGGGCACAAGGCAGUCUUCUCCCAUUAUGGAGCUAAUCUCUUAAGGGAGGAAAUUCACAUUUGGUUGGCUUGAUGCACCCCUAAAUCUAAGACUCGCAGGUUGGGAGGCAUUGCUGUGUGUCUAAGUCUGUUUCUCAUUUGUUAGAACUCUCUUCCUAAUUUUCCUACUUCAUGUCUCUCACUACUCUGUCCUAUACAUUUGCCAUAAUAAUUACCACACAGAUACCCACAUUCCCAUUACAUCAUGGUGUCAAAUCUAAAUUCUUGAAAUUCUGAGACCUUUUAUGUGCUUCCCAAGCAUCUUAAUCUUUCCUUUCAAACCUUUUAUUCCUUUCCCGUUCUGACACUGAUUGUGCUCAAGCCUUACACUGCCUUUGUCCAUCUUGCUCUAAUUCACUACUACUUAGCAAUUACUUUGGAGAUUAUUCCAUUUUCUAAAGAGACAUGGAUUGGAAUGUGAUAUAUCAUUCAUGAAAAUAACAGGGAUAUAUGGUUGAACUAUGAAGGUUGCCAUAUAUAAUGAUUUAUAGAUUUCAACCAGUGGCCCACUUCAAGGAAUACUUGGAGUCACUUAAGUGGCAAUUUGACAGCGAAGUUGUACUGAAACUUACUAUCUAGAUGCAGUGGGUAACAAUCUGUAAGUAGAAAAUGCGGAAGGCUUAGAUUUAGUCAUAUGGAUUUAGGAGUUUGCAUCAGGUUUUGAGGCUGAACCAAGUGACUCAAAGGGAAUUUAAAAUUCUCUGCUCUUGACUAUUAAAGAGCAAUCUUUUGCUUUAAAGUUUUCAGAAUUCCACUUCUUGAAAGUACACAGACAACCAGUAGAAAAACAGCCUAGUUGGCCAGUCUCAGCCUAAAAGUUGAACAGGUGGAUGCAUAGAUUUUUCACAUACUCUUGUAUUUUCUGAAAACAAAGAUACUAUUGUAUUAUUGCAGUACGUGUCCAUAUUGCAAUAGUCAUCCAUACUUGUGAGACUGUCUAAAUCUGCACUUCAAUCAUGGUGAUAGCCUCCGUUAGACCAAGUUUGUCAGACCUGCAUCCUACGUUGGAUGCUCUGUCUCUUCUGGGGAAACUAAAGUACAAAAAGACUUCUUGAUAUUUUGAAUUUUUGACCUGAUAUCCAACACCUCUCAUACUGGUCAAGCAGUAGCUCCUAUUCAUUGAGUUCCUACUGUGCACCAGUUACAUGCAGCUAGGUACUUUAUAUCAUCUUUAACAUUCACAGGAGCCUCUGUGUUAGGCACUAGUAUCCCUGUUUCCAGUGGGAGAACUCAGGCCCAGAGAGAUUGAAUGACAUAGCCAGGGUUGUACAGCUAGUUUGUAAUAAAGCAAGUAUUAGUGCUGAAAACGUAUUUUCACUUUUAUCUUUCUGUAGAAAUUUAUUUUGCUUUUUAGAGUGAGAGACGAAGCAUUUUCUUCAGGUUAGAUUUAUUGUGGGGAGUUGUGAAUUACAAGCUAAAAACAGAUGGUAUUCUACAAUGUAAGGUUUAAAUUUGUGAAAUUUUUAUUUGCUGUUGUAUGCUUCUGUUUCCCUGUCCUUAGCAUCAUUGAAUAUUUUCUACAUUUUGUGAUUGAUACAUGUUUGCUUCUUUAUAUACAAAAUCUUUAAUUUUGUAGAGGAAUGGGAUAAAAGAGAUUAAGUUGGUUUUGUACUUCCAAGUAGAGUCUGACCAUUUUGAUUAUCCCCACAGCAAACCUGAAAAGUCAGUUCACCACAUUUAACAUAUACAUAACACUGUGUGUGUAUAAAUAUAUAUCGUAUACUGCCUUCCAUCUCCUAUUAUUAAGAGUAAUAAUUGAUGCCAGGCAGGAAGAGUGCUACCUCAUAUUUGGAUCAGCUACUUCUACAUAAAGAACAUUUGAAAAAGUUUGCCUGAAGCUGUUCUGAAAGUUAAGUACCAUUAAAUACAUUGGCAAAGUCUGGCUCAAAUUCCAGCCUUUCACAGAGCGCAUCAGGGAGAUCCUUGCUUUUUGCCUUGCAAAAAUCAAAAAUAAUAGCCAUUGAGGAAGUAAAAUUUAAGUAAACAUGUACUCUGUUUAAUGCCACUGGCUGGUGUUUGUUAAGUGCUUCCCGUGUGUCAGCUGCUAUUGAAAGUGCUCUUCAGCCGUUCUCAGCCGUUCUCUUAAUCUACGCAGCUUCGCGUCUACAGAUGAGGAAAUGGAGAGGCAGGAACAUUUGUAGUGGAGUCGUGAUUCAUUCAAAUACUAAAGAUCUGGUCUGUUCAGAAAUAGAGUCGUGGAUCUCACUAAACUAGAAGAGAAAAAAAUAGAGCUCCAGAGUAAAGUAGAGAAAGGUUUUUAAUUUUUGGUGGUUUCGCUCUCCCUUUCCUCCCUGCAGCAUACCCCUACCACAUGUUCCGUGUAGAUUCCCCCCUCACACACACGCAUUUAAGUUGUGCUGUUUUUCCCCCUUUUCAAAAUAUUUCAACAUCCUCAGGAGCAGUAAUUGGAAGUUUAUUCGUAAGUGUAGAAAUUGUAUCAGAGGCUUCAAAAUAAUUGUAUUUUAUUGACCUAUGUUUUGUCUUGAAAUUUUUCAUUUUGAACUGUUAUUCAGGGGGAGGGCUGUUAAAGUGUUUUCUCUGCCUGUUUACGAUACAUUUUAGAUCUCUCACAUUUUUUUCUCUGGAUAUUUAUCAGGAGGUGGUGUAGAGGUUUGGUAAGUAAUGCAGUUUGAUUUUGUAUGUCUCAAGGGUUUCUCAUUAAGUUACAUAUUUGAGUUUUCUUUAUUCUGACCUUUUUUCCCCUGGUGCUUCUAUUUGCAAUAUUGACUGAAAAUCCUUACGUAAUGCUAAUUUUGAUCUUUUUUUUCACUAGCAUGUUUUGGAGCCCUCAGACUUGAAGAAGGACAUAGGUAAAGAGUAUAAUAUGAAACAUUUUCUGACAUUAGGGUUAUGAAGUCCUUUCCUUUAGUUGCCUACUUGCUGUCUUCAGUCUGAAAAUUAAAACAAUUUAAGUGGUUUGGUUUUGCCCAAUUACGGAUAUUUCAGUUCUCUUAUAUUUAUAAAUGUAACAUCAAUCCUUCACAUUGUAAAAAAGGUGGUUUCAUAUUAGAUUAGGAAGUACUUAGAACUUUAAAAUAUUUCCCCUGUGUAAAAUUUUAUGCAGUACUUGAGUUACUUAAUUGUAAAGUGGAUAACAAAUAUUAAUCUAAAACACAUUUUAGAUUUAUCAGAAUCAGGCUCUACUGCUGCUGUGUCUGAAAUGCUUUCCAACUUCCCCAGAGCCGUCACUGAAUAUAAACUCCAUAUUGUGUCUCUCAUGUAUCUGACCCAUCCUGCAUGUUUUUAUCAAGUUCUUUUCUGUGACUGGACGUGUUAGAAGACAGAGCCUAGGAAGUGCCAUAUUCCUUUGUCUGCUCAUGAAGUUGUUUUAAAACAUUCUUUAAUUUAGAAACAUAAAUGCCACACUUUUAAAAAUUUUAGUGACACCAAAAAAUUGAAUACAUUUUCCUGUCAAACAAAUGUUCUUUGAAAACUAAAUGUCUGCAUUAUCUCUUUUUUUACUUGAAGCUACUUGAUGUUUGCUUAAACUCCAUUUACUUGGAGUAGAACUUUGUAGUGAAUGAAAAUGACUAGGUUCUUCUGCCAAGUAAGUUGAGAACAUGAGUUUCUGUGUGUGGAUAAUAUAUAUUCUCUCUUUUCCUAUUUCGUUUUGAUAAUCCUAUCUCUGAGAACAAGCUCUGAUGUCAGUCUUUUAAAAAGAUACGGCAAAAAAUCUUUUUUUUUUUGGCCAUGCCAUGCAGCUUCCAGGGUCUCAGUUCCCCAACCAGGGAUUGAACCCAGAUUAUGGCAGUGAAAACCCAGAAUCUUAACCACUAGGCUACCAGGGAACUCCCAAGAUUACUUUUUUUUUGGUAAGACUUCACCGUCAUCUAUAAAAUAGCACAGUUUAACUGCUUCCUCAGUUUAAAAUUCCAUAGACUAUAACAGUGUCUACAUCAUAGAGAUGAUUUCUUCUUAUCCAAAAAUAUAUUUUUCUUUAAAUUCCACAGUUUAUAUCUUUUUUAUAGUAACCUAAUUUAGCAAGAUCAAAUUGAGAAUUUCACCCAGGGUAUCAGGUAGAACCAUUAGACUGUUGGAGAAUUUACUUGGAAAAAGAAAAACUGGAGGGAAAGAGAAGGUGCUGGUUGAUAGCAAUCAGAAAUAAAGAUUGUGAAGCAUCUUUGGAAUUAGUUUGUUAUAUGUAGGAAAUUCAUCUGGUAUAUAAAAAUAAGUGUGGCUCUUGACAUUUGCAAAUGUUACUUCACGGUCAUUGGCAAAAGUUCACUCAAAUCCAGGUUUUCUCUAAGAGAAACAUGGAGUCAGAGUCCCCACACUUACGAGUAAAGCAUGCAUUCACUUUGUCCCUGACAGUCUGCCAGUGACCAUGGUUUCUGAGGUUCAUUGUUGGAACCAGAGACAAGAAGAAAGGGGAGAGGGUGCUAAUCAGAUCAGUUGCGGCCUUUUAAAUUUGACCCUUUGGGUAAUGUACAUGGAAAGUAGUAUUUACUCUUUGAGUAGUAGUAGCAAAAGUGUCAGAGAGGGCAAUGGCACCCCACUCCCGUACUCUUCCCUGGA